UACGAAGGGGCUAGCGUUGCCCGGAAUCACUGGGCGUAAAGGGUGCGUAGGCGGGUCUUUAAGUCAGGGGUGAAAUCCUGGAGCUCAACUCCAGAACUGCCUUUGAUACUGAGAAGCUUGAGUUCGGGAGAGGUGAGUGGAACUGCGAGUGUAGAGGUGAAAUUCGUAGAUAUUCGCAAGAACACCAGUGGCGAAGGCGGCUCACUGGCCCGAUACUGACGCUGAGGAGCGAAAGCGUGGGGAGCGAACAGG
rnacentral:rRNA from 1 species